GUAACAUACAAAUAAAGCAACAACUAAGACCCAACUGUCAGAAUUAAGGCAUGGUUUAAUUAUACAUCUGUACAAUGCACGAAGAAAGCAAUUGAAAGAAUAUGAACAUGAAUGGUAAUGAGUUUAACCUAUUGAGUCAUUGACAUAUGUUCAAUUGUUUGUUGAUUAUUUAAGAGGCACAGAUGCAGUAGUGAUGCCAUACAUGCUCCAUCUACCAAGGCAAAUCAAAUAAACAUUUAAUUCAGGAAAAAUGAAAUACCUCUAUGUUUCCAACUUAUAAUUGACA
rnacentral:misc_RNA from 1 species